rnacentral:rRNA from 2 species
UGGGGAAUCUUGCGCAAUGGGCGAAAGCCUGACGCAGCCAUGCCGCGUGGAUGAUGAAGGUCUUAGGAUUGUAAAAUCCUUUCACCGGGGACGAUAAUGACGGUACCCGGAGAAGAAGCCCCGGCUAACUUCGUGCCAGCAGCCGCGGUAAUACGAAGGGGGCUAGCGUUGCUCGGAAUUACUGGGCGUAAAGGGCGCGUAGGCGGACAGUUAAGUUGGGGGUGAAAGCCCGGGGCUCAACCUCGGAAAUGCCUUCAAUACUGGCUGUCUUGAGUACGGGAGAGGUGAGUGGAACUCCGAGUGUAGAGGUGAAAUUCGUAGAUAUUCGGAAGAACACCAGUGGCGAAGGCGACUCACUGGCCCGUUACUGACGCUGAGGCGCGAAAGCGUGGGGAGCAAACA